rnacentral:lncRNA from 1 species
GAAAGCAAGACAGAAGUCAAAUUUGGAGGUGAUAAAUGUUCAUUACUUUGUGAUGAUAGUUUCACAGGUAUGCACAUAUGUCUAAACUCAUCAAAUUGUAUAUAUUAAAUAUGUGCAUUUCUGUAUAUUAAAAAAGAGUGAGGUCAGGAAGAAAGGUUAAGUAAGCAAGAGAUAAGAAGAAAUCCAAUGGUAAAAGAAUUAAUUAAUAUUAUAAACAUUGGGUUAGAGAUAGUAAAUCCCCUGUGCUAAGUAGUAAACAUUAGAGAAAAGAUAGUGAGGGAGCUUUAGCAUCACCUAAUGUUUGAGCAGCAUCUUGAAAAUUUGGAGAAGAGUAAGAAUAACACAUCUUCUUGAGUAUCAAGACUUCUGAAAAAGCAGAAAUAAUACAUCUUCUUGAGUAUCAGGACUACUUAGUCAUUUCUUCAGCUCACAUUAGACAAAUAUUUAGUAACAUCCAUGUGACAGGAACUGUGUUAGAUACUGAAAAUUAAAGAGUAGAAGGAGAUUCCUGCUCUCCAGAGCUUUCGGUCUGGACUUUGAGUCCUUGUAAUUUUCAGAAAAACUAUUUUCUGGAUGGUUCAACUAAAUGUGGAAAACACAUGGGAAAAGCAACGAGAUGAUAAAAACUGUGUAACUAAGUCAUUGUGAACACAGUUGCCCAGAAGAUCCUCAGAAAAUUAAGUCCAACCAUUUGCAUCUGCUCUAAAAUCUUUUCUCUUAGAAUAAAAUAUCCUUAAAGUCUUUAAAAUGAGCAACAAUGCCAUGCAUAAUCUGACCUCUUACCUCUCUGGCUGCUGCUCUCACUAAUCUUCCCUUUGCUCAUUUGGUCCCAACCAAGGUGGAAAGAAUAUACAGUCCUGCCAUCUCUUACUUCUGUCUAGGAUGUUCCUUCCACAGACAUCCUCAUGGCUCACUCCUUGGCCUUCCUCAGGUCUUGGCUUCAAUGUCACAUCUCAACAUGGCAUUUCCUGAACAACCCAUCAAAAAUAUGAUACCUACACAGAUCAGUAUUGCUCAUCUCUCUUCUUUAUCUUUCUCAUUUCGGUUAUCUUCUAACAUGUUAUAUUAUGCACAUAUGUAUUGUGUUCCCAUCAUCCAUUAUCUGUCUCCUGUCACUGGAAUGUAAGCUACAAAAGAGCAGAGGAAUUUUUAUGGGUGCUUCGUUUUAUCUUUUAUUCACUGUUCUAUCUGCAGCACUUAGAACAGUUAUUGAAAUGGAUUAUGCAUUUACUUAAUAUUUACUGAAACAAUGAAUGAAUAUGAAAAGCAUCCAUAUUAUGAAAACUCUUUAAAGGGUGUUUCAUGUUAAGAAACCAAUUAUACAUUUGUAUACUAAGUAAAUACCAUUUAUAAAACUAAGUGAAACUUCAUCCCUAAAAGUCUAUGGAGAUAAGAAAAGUGGUUGUUCUGAAUCAUUUAGAUAAGUACAUGUCUGCAAGAAAACAUGAAUGAGCAGAGAAUUUUUAGGAUCCUUUCACUGUUUUUCUAUCAAGAAAAGACAAUUGUAAAAGAAGUAGAUAUUGAAUACUUAUUAAAGUAUUCAAUAUUACUUUACACCCUUUGAAGAGGGUAAGUUGUGCAUUAGUAGGGCAAUAUGUAAAGAGAUAAGAGAUCAGAGAUUGUAAAGAGAUAAGAGAUUAGAGGUUGUUUCAUUUAAGUAUUCCAACAUUUACAAUGCUAUAUUGUUUUCUUGCAUUAUUUAAAUUUUCUUAUAUUGAUGACAUAUUCUAUUUAGAAAAUAGGCAUAAUUGGAGUUAUUAUCAGUAUAAUGUAAACUUAAUUAUCUCGUAUUGAAUACAGUUAUGACAUGGUAGGGAUAAAACAGGACUUAGAGGCAUACACAUGAGAGAUGCAGUUUCAGCUCUGCUAUUUACUGAGCAUCUGGUCUUGAACAAAUCAUUGAGGUCCAUGUCUUCCAUUCUGGGAUUAGUCAUAACACCUAGCUUUCAUGUAGUGGGAAUUAAAGCAUUGUCACACUAUUUGGGAUAGAAGGUCAUUAUAAUAAUAACAGCUACAAUUAAUGAAAGAUUCUCUAUAAUCCAAGCAGUUGAGGUUCCAAGUGUCUUCCAUGCAUUAUCUCCUAUCACAGUCCUAUGAGGUAGAAACUUUUAUAUCCCUAUUUCACAGAUGAGAAAACCAAGACUCACUGAGAUUAACUUGCUUACAGAUUACUUAGAAAGUAGCAGAGCUGGGAUGUCAACUCUAGUCCUUCUGAGUCCAGAAAUAGAAAAUAUAAACAAAAGUCUAUACUAUGUUCCAAACAUUAAUAUGCUAAUUUGCUCAUCUUUGGAUUUAAGAAAAUCUGUCUUAAAUUUUUCUCCAAAACAGAUUGGUUAUAGCAAGACUCCAAUAUUACUAUCUCUUAGCCUGCCACAUUUUCAACUUUUUUCUAGUCAUUCUCACUAAGCAAUUUCUCUCCACCCUUCAGCUUUUGGGGGGCGGGGGGUGGGGAGGGGAUGCUAUUCAGAGAGCUCUUACUUACCUCAAUUUUUCUUUACCAUCCUUUUCCCCAAGCCAUCAAUAUUUACCGCCUUUACCCAGAGGGGUCUUCCCUCCAACUUCCUCAGAUACUUCUCACAUCUUUUGUUGACAGCUUCCAGGUACAGGACACUCAGAGAAGUUACAUUCCAAAGAGAGGCUAAUAGAGCCUCUAUUCCUGAUCCAGGAGAACCACUGGUUUCUAAGUUCAACCUCUUAGUGCUUCCCAAAUAGGAACAAAAUGUUCUAAAACUCAAUUUGGUGGUUACAGUGAUCAUCACGGUGUAAGCUUGCUUGCAUUCCAAACAAAAAGGGAUAAGGAGAGGGCCUAAGGCACUUUUCAGAUGAGAAGAACAAACAAUCCAAAGAGGUACAGAUAUCUAAUCCUCCCAUUCUGCACCCGUAUGUCUCUGCAAGAAACAAAUAUUUGAAUCAAGAUUGCUGGAUGGAAAUACAUGCAUACACCCCUUCACAUAAAUCAAGAAAGUUGAAAAUACCCAAUAAAUUGUGCUCAGCAUUCAAAACGAGACACCAAAUGAAAAAGAAAGCAGAGAGGCUGCAUUAGUAAAGAGCGUAUAAACAAAGACUUUUUCAAAGGACUCCAAAUAUUCAUUGAAGCUACACACAGAAAAAAAAAAAAAAA